UACGUAGGGGGCAAGCGUUGUCCGGAUUUAUUGGGCGUAAAGAGCGUGUAGGCGGCUUGGUAGGUCCGCUGUGAAAACUCGAGGCUCAACCUCGAGAUGUCGGCGGAAACCACUUGGCUAGAGUCCGGAAGAGGAGAGUGGAAUUCCCGGUGUAGCGGUGAAAUGCGCAGAUAUCGGGAAGAACACCCGUGGCGAAGGCGGCUCUCUGGGACGGUACUGACGCUGAGACGCGAAAGCGUGGGGAGCAAACAGG
rnacentral:rRNA from 1 species